AUUUUAUCUAAAAAUGUUUUACGAUAUAUUUUUGAAAUAGUGUGACGUCGCUGGCAAGCAUAUUGGAAUAAUCAUAUUUUAUUUAUUUACGCAAGCGAAGAAGUAUCGACCUUAGUAAUGUUUUACGAAGAACAUACGAGGAAUUACAGGGCGAUCAAAGUGCGUGAUUCUUACUUGAACAAGAUGCGCAUCAUACUUGACCUACGACUUACGAUUACAUCAGGCAUCAUCAGUAGAUGAAAAGAAUUGCUUCUUGGAAAUUUAAGAUAGCGCAUUCUAGCGGACCCAUUAGUAAGCAUGAGAAAAUACUUAAGAUAUUAUGUUAAUUUGUAUCCGAUUAUUUUUGAAAUUAUGUAGACUUUAUUUAAUUAUUAGAAUAUUUAAUAUUAUUUAACAUUUAUACAUACAGCAACAAAACUAAUGACAUAAUUAAAACGUACGUUCAUUAAUUCUGCAUUUAAAACAUACGUGCAUUAAUUCUGCAUUAUACAUUAUUUACUCAUUAAAUUUAUACAUCUUAUAAUUUUAUUUGAUGAAAAAAGAAACUCAAAAAGUCGCAAUAAACGGAGAACACCCGUGCAAGUUUUCAACCUUAUUUUCGAUCUUAUUUUUUUUUUCUAUUAUUCGUGGAUACUGAAAUAAAUUUCAACGUCAUAAAAAUUCUUGGCGAGAGAAAGAGGAACAUCUUCCGGGUCUUAAUCUAGUACCCCUUUGAUCAUCUCGUUCCCUUUUUCAUCCCUUCACAACGGUCGACCUUCACCGCUGCGUUGAUAACCCACUGAAAUAAUUCAUUUUCGGCGGAAACUCCGAGUCUCCGCUUGCACGCUUCGCACGAUUGCCUCCAGUGGCCGUGGCCAUCCACUUCCGGUUGCACCGGCAACGCGCGAAUCGUAAAUCGCAGACGCUCGGAUAUAUAUGUGUUCCUGCUAAUCAAGUCUCUGAUGUAUCGUAUAUCGUCCUUUCUCUCUCUCUCUCUCUGUCUCUCAUUCUCUAGUUUCAAGCUUCGUCGUCCAAUAACAAAGAUACGCGGAGAUCACCAAGCCGCGCUGUGUGACAUAAAACUCAAGAAAAAAUGAUAUAACAGUUUGUAUUCAUAAACCAUUCGUAUGCACAUAAACAUAUAUCUAUAUUAGUAACAAUGGGAAAAUGGAUCGCAAAAAUAUUCGGAUACUUAUUGAAAUUGAAUAACAUUUUACAGACUGUAUAAAAUAAUCUAAACUUUGGUAUAGAUAAUAAAAAAAUUAAUAUGCUAUAGUAAAAGAAGUAAUAAAAAUAAAAUGAAAAUUUGUUUGGUUUCAUUGUUGUAUAGUUCUAUAUAAAGCACAUAUAACAUUAAUUUGUUUGUAUUUAUUAAAAAUUUCACAAGACUUUAUUUGGCUUAAAAGAAGAAUGAUAUAAUUUCGAAAAUUUAUUUGUAUAUUUCUGCGAUGUAUUGUAUACAUAUGUAUGUAAGUAUGUAGAAUUUAUGCGUUAAAUUAAAAUAAAUGUGUAGGUAAUUAAUUUAUUCGAAAAGUGUACGUUAUACAGAUUUAAGAGAGAAUAAUUUGUACAAUAUAAUAACAAUAUUUGUAAAUGUUAACAUUUCAUUGCAUUUAUUACGUAUGUUUAAUCUUAUUUCUACAGUGAUAACGUCUAUUAUUUUUACUGUUCAAACAUCUCCCUGUUAUUCCUAUAUUAAAAGGUUCGUUAAAUAUUCGUGGCUUUUUUUCUAUAUUAUUUUCCAUACGAAGGAUCAGGUUAUCUUUCGUUAGGAUUAUCGAAGGGAAAGAAAAAUAUAUUAUGAGCCUGUAUGUGUGUGGAAACGUCCAGUAGCUUUACCAACGUCCAUUUGCGAGAUCUCUAUGCUUGGUUAGUUUAAUUACCUUAUUCCCAUUAUGGUCGAAUUCAUAUAGGUUUAUUUAACAGUACUUUGAUUUUUGAAGCGGUAUACUUAAUCAAGUUGGUAUAUAGACGAUGGCGUACGUUCUGUUACAAAAUUUGUUGCUUGAGUAAAUUUAUCGUUUUCUGAAUAAGAUAGUUCACAUUUAAGUAAUUAGCCCCCUUACUAUUCUUUGAAAUAUGCAAUUCUCCAUCUCUGUUCAGGCGGAUUCCAUUAAAUCUAGGAUGAUUUCUGCAACGUUUAAGUUAUAAAAUAUAACGUUCACGAUCUUUAAUGAAUUUUAUUAAUAGAAGAUAAUAUCCCUGGACGUAUUUCCGAUCAUCAGUUCAGCAUUGAUAAAAUAUCUAAUUAGUCGUCAAAAGGGAGAUGGAAUUUGUUCGAUAUAAGGAAGGAUCGUUCGAAAGAUUUCCUUAAGAAAAGAUUUUUCAUUCGAAUAUUGUAACUUAAAGAUUUGAGUAGGUUUUAUUACAGAGACCGCAUACGAGAAGAAAUUUUUGAGAAAUUGCUAAAAGUAAUAGUGAUAUAAAAAGUUAGCUAGACGUUCGUAACAAGUUCCGACGUUGGGUCUAACUUGUCAGACUUCGGAACGGUAACCGGAGAUAAAUGGAGGCAGAUUAUACAUCAUAUGAGAUUUCUCGCGCGAGUAUUAUCCAUCAUUGGAAGGAAAUAAAUGGUUCUGAUAUUUCUCUUAUUAAUGAAUAAGUCCUUUUAAGUAAGCGGUAUUAGGCAUGCACGCGGUUUAUCCAUUAGUCGUAAAUAAAGAGUUUGAUUAUGCAAAAUGUAUAAAAAAUUAAUUUCUUUUAAUGGCAAGCUUUUUAUAAUAUUGUACAGAAUAAAAAGGGUAGAGCCGAAAGGAGAUACAGGAAUGAAAUUAUUCGAUAAAUCAAAAUAUCGUGACUUACGCGCAAAUAAUUGUUGUAAAUAACGCCGAUUAAAACGAUGAUAGCGAGAAAGGUUAAAAAACUCCAUCCUUGCCAUCCGUAAAAAGGAAUAUUCGAACGAAAAUCGGCUUUUCUUGCACAAACACCCAUUGAUAUCAAUUUAUAAUUCCUAUAUUAAAAUAUUUCCUGAGAUAACAAAUUUUGCGGAUGGUUUGUUGAAAUUUUGUUAUUAUUUUCUUUCCUUUUAAAAAACGAGAGGUUAUUUUACCGCCGAAAGCGUGCCAUGUUAUUGAUGUUACUAUAGACACUAGACCGUGGCGAAAGUAAUGUUGAAAAAAGCAUACCGCUUUUACGACGACGAAGAUGACCGCAUCUAUUGUUUUUCGCAAUCGUCAACUCUUGACAAUAUUUUUACUUUAGGUAGAAAGAACUCGAGCUUUCGAGGGAAGAAGCAAAGAGAAAGUAUUAUAUCGUCUAGCUCCAGUGACGGUGAUUCCUUUGGUGUCUAGUAUCCGAACAAACAAAGACGUCGUUUCAGGAAGCACACGUUUUGACAGCUUUGAUCUCAAAGUAAAAACAUGACAAUUCUAUUAUAUUACUUAUCCUUAUUUAUAUCGAAUAUGUUCUUCCAUGGAACAUCGUACGGAAUAAGGUAUAAUCCAACAAGAUAACUAUUUCUGAUUCGGAAAACUUUCUUUUCUUUCGUAAAAAAACUAAAGACAAAAUUCUUGCAAUUUCUCAAUGAUUUAUUCUCGAAUUAUAACGCAACUGAUUCGACUAGGAUACAUCAUUGAGUACGUUGAUAAAGAAAAUAACGCAGGUGCGUUCAUUCAUAACAGAUCCGAAGUAUCCAGGAGCUAUUUACUCAGCGGAAAUUGAUUCCGUGUACACCGGAAACGAACUACUCGACGAAACGUUGACUCUUGGACGCACGCGACUCUGCGUUCUCACGCGUAAAACUCUACGGCUUGAUCCCCACGAGCGAUUCCGCGAUGCGAUUCAUCCCUACUAAAUUGUUUCAUAUCCGUUAGUUUAUGACUCCCAGAGUGGCCGCUUAUCGAAACGCAUUUAGAGAAGUUUUCGAGUAAUCAACGCGAAACCAUCAUCAAAAGAUUUUUGACUUCCGUCCUAUUUGUUUGGUCGUGUUAUAGUUAACUCUAUUCAAAGUUCUCUUUCUUUCAUUUUUCAUUUCAUUAUUUUUAUGACAAACGAAAUAAUACACUUUCUCACACUUCACUUUUUAAAAUAAAUUUAUUAAUUAUUAGAAAGUGUAGUUAAAUAUUCUAGAAAGUAAUUUAUAUUUUUAAAUAAGUUUCACCAAGUAAACAUUUUAUUUUAUACGUUUUCCAACAAAAUGACUAAUGUAGUAACAGUAAUAAUGUAAUUAAUUGAAUAACCAAAUCAGGAAUAAAUACAUAUAAUGCUGCUCGAGUUAGAUUUUAAUUAAAAGUUUCUUUAUCAUUUCCGUAAAUAGUUUUUCUUUAGAUUUCAGGAGAAAACGAAAUAUUUCUACGUUUGUAAGAGGAUCAUUUUGUAUUGUACGUAUAUGUGUACACUGUGUAGUAUUCUGUGAAUAUAUUCGACACAUUUUUAGAAUAAAAAUUACACAGAAUUCUCGUAAAAACUCGUGCACGAUGUUUAUUCACACGGGCGAACACUGUCCAGAAGAAAUGCGUGAAUUUUAAAAAUACGAUACACACACACACAUCCAUCCAUCCGUAUGUAUGUAUUUAUGUAUAUACAAACGAUUUUAUAAUUAACGAAUUGUAAAGGUUUCUAAGCGAGAUUAGCGAGAAAAAAUGUUUAACGAUAACGUGAAAAACGUGAUUAUGCGUAUAUCUUACGUUCUUAUGUUCUUAUUUUUUUUUAUUAGUCAUUAUGUUAGCACAUUUUCAAAAGUUUAUACGAUUCGUUACGUAUUUUUCGUUGUAAUCAUUAAAUUUUACAUAAGUAAGUUAUCGUCGCUUAUUAUCGUUAAUUAGGGAUAUAAAAUAUAUAAUGAAGUUUAAAAAAUUUGUAAAAACGCAGGAAAAUUCAUUACAUAGUUGUUAUCAGGGAAGUAUGUCGUAUUGAAAAACAAAGCUCAGUCGUAAAUUGAAUUUCGCGAAUUUAUGCGCGGCCUGGUCUGUGUUUCGAAAUGGUAAGCAAAAAUAAUAAAGCGCAACUCUCACUGAUAAAUAUCGAGCCAGGGAUUCGUUUUCGAACGAUGAAUUUUAAUGGAUUUGCUAAUGCAAUUUCGUUACAAAAUUGCGAUUAACUUUCGAUGUUUCGUGUUACAUCCGAGAAACCGAAUUUUAUUUAACGUAUACGCGAGAUCAUGUUUUAUCCUUUCUCUUUUAUUUAUUUUACAGAGAACGGAACGUGGAAGUGGAUAAAUCCUGUGCUAGCAUAAAAAUUCCUCAAAAAAAAAAGAAAAAAGAAAAAAAAGGAAAAAGAAAAAAAAAGAAAAAGAAAAAAGAAUGUUAGACCGCGCGAUAUGCGUUUUCAUUCGCGUUUACAUUUAUGUAGUAGCGGCUUAUACUUUCCGUUUCGACCGGUACAUGAAUACACUCGUGUACAUGUGUAUAUAUUAUUUCAAGUCCUCAUUAUACGCUUUUCCAAUGUAACACACGAAUUCCCCACGGGGUAGUAAUAAGUAUUUUUAACAUUCACGUACUAAUUAUUAUUCGGCAUACACCUAGUUACGAUUUGUUGCUAACGAACGUUCUAUCGAAUUACCACGUGUGUACGAAUUAACGAACUUGCAUGUUAUUAUUGUGAAAUGUCCAAUAAUCGAUCGGUACGUAUCAGUAAUUUUUACUGGUUUACGAAUUUAUUUCGUAAAAUAAAGUUAGAUAAUUCGUUUCUUUUUGGUUGAAAUUAUCGACGGUCGACGUACCGUAUAAGCGAAUUUUUACUUUAGAAAGGCAAACGUCGUCUAGUUGAAAAAAGUUUGGAAAUGGUGGACGACGUCUUUUCGAAGUUUCCAAGUCCAUUAUACCAAGAUCUUAGCAAUAAAUUUACAAUACACCGUUUCCGGUGUCGUUCGCUUUAUCGAUUCGAUCGAACGUUCCCAUCGAAUUCCCAGCUAAAUUUGCAUAUAUCCUAGGACGGUGCUGGAAAUCCCGUAUAAAUUUUAACGAGAUACUCUCGCGAGUACUCCAAUCGCACAUUUUAGAAUGAUCGUCCAAAUAUAGCAUUUGCGUGCGAAUUGCGAUGAGAUAGUUGAAAUAUAACAAAGAAUUUCUUCAAUUUCUUCAUAGAUUUUGUUAUUUACGUUAGACAUAAAUAUUUGCGUCAAUUUUUCUUUGUUAUCAAGUUUUAUAAACGGAAGAUUAGAUUAUUCAAUUCUUAUCAGAUCGAGACAUUUUUCAUCGAAUCGUUCAUUGUGUAUUAUCCAGAAUAAUAUAUGUAAUAGAGAUAGAGUAUAGGAAGAGAAAGAACUUUUAUUCUCUUCAUCAAUUUCAAUUUAUUCUCCUUAUCUUAUGUUUUAAACGAACUUGUUUAGAUAUCGCGCACGUUACGAAAUAAACGAACGAAAGGCAUCGAAGUGUUUCAUAACAAUAACAUCUUCGAAGAUAUCAUCGAGAUAUGAUUGUGUUCGAAGAAUGGGUGCACGCGUGAUUUCUUUUCCACUUAUGUUAGUAUCCGACGGUAAAAGAAACCGACAGCUGUUACAAACAGAUUGAGACGAAGUUAGAACAGGCAGUUUCGGAUGUUAGAAGACGAAGAAACGGAGUAUCGUAUUAUCGGGCUUUCGACGAGAGAAAGGGGAGAGUAGUAGAGAUAAUCGAGGAAAAGUAUCGAUUUUCGAUUAACUCCGAAAGUAUCGAUAAUCCGAGUUCACCAAAUAGUACGAUCCUUAGUACCAAAUGCCUCCUUGGGCUGUUCUCUUACAUCAGAACUUUGAAAUUCUCAAACUUUUUAGCCAAUACUCUUUAGCUAUCGGUCACUGUCAGAUUUUUGCAUGACUCUAUCGAGCAGUUCAGUUUGCUCAUUUAGAAGGAAUAGUUUUUUAGAUUAAAAAUAGAAAGUUACUCGAUCUUUGCUAUUGUCAAUACGUCUCUUACGCGUACAAUGCGAGUUAUCACAUGAAGAUCCUUUAAAUGUUCAUUACUUUCACAUUUCAUUUAUUUUUACUUGAUUACUAUCGGACGAACAGAAAGGAUCAUUUCCUUUUAUCUCGUUCAAAUUCGACGAAUUGAAAUCUCGGAGUAAGAGAAGUGAGUAUUAUAUUCACUUUAGGAUAUUUUCAAUUUGAAGUUUUUUAAUUGAUUUCAACCAAGACGAUUUUUUAUCGUUUAUUGACUCUAUAAUCGUUCGAUCGAUUGAUCCAUGCGAUUGGUAUGUGAGACUUCAAAGAGAAUACAUCCUGCCGAUGCGAAAGAGAAAGUAAUGAUAUAUACAUCAAAGAAACGGAAUAAAAUGUCUAUCGAAAAUCGACCAGAAAGGAAGAUUGAUUACUUUUGCAUUUGAUCAUUCGCAAAGAAAUCGCAAAGAAACGUACUAUCCUAGUUUCAGUCUACUAUCUACUUUUCCUAUGUAACUUUUUCCUUAUCUAUUCGCGUAAUUCCAUUGGAUUUCAUUCUUUUAAUCGAACUUCGUGUAAACUCAAUCAUUUCGUUGCGAAAAUAUGAGAGAAAGAAAUGCAAGGGAAAGGGAGAGAUGAUGAUCAAGGGAAAAGGUAUUCCACGUUUGUCGCCUUCCAUUAUUGGAAUUUUCAUUAAUGUCCGCUCUCUUAAAAUGAAUGAGCAUCGAAGUGAGCACGCGAAACGAUUGGCUUUUCUACGGUUAUUAUAAACCGUUUAGAUCAACCUGAAUACAGCUUGCUUUUAUCGUCACGCGAAGAAAUCUGAAUGAAAAUGACAUUAUUGUUCGAGAAACCAUUGGACAAUUCAAUCAAAUUAACAAAAAUUUAAUUAAAAAUCAAAUUCAAAUUUAAAAAGAAAAAUACAAGUCAAAUUAAAUUACCAAAAAAAUUGAUAAUUGUCAAUCGUUCGAUUUCUAUGAAAUUAAUCGUCAAUUAGAUAUUUUCUAAAAAAAAAAAAAAAAAAAAACAAUACAACAAACGAACGAUUAACGUUUACCAUUCUUAAUCAAUCACAUUCAAGUCGAUUAAUUCUUUCGUUCUACUCAUUUUACUGAGCAAUCAGAUUAGAAUUGUCAAAACAGAGAAUUGGACAAAAAACUCUUUUCGAAUCGAUAUUUGAAACUUUAGAUUGCUAUGCAAUGGUUUGUAAAUAUUGUUGACGAAAGCAGUAAACGAAAGAAGUGAAUAUGAAAAAUGUAUAAAAAAAGGAAAAAGAGAGAGAGAACAGUAAAAAUACGCGCAAACCAUUCUAUAACUAGUAGCGACGGUAUCAAAAGUUUUCAACUUUGCGAGUGAGGUGGGGCCGGAGGCAGGAGGUCAUGAAAAAAGCAAGAAAAAAAUAAUAAAAACAAAAAAGAAAAGGUACAGUCGAUAUGAACGAAAUAUUUAGCCACGUGUCAUCGAUCGUUACACUUUUUCCUUUAUUUUUCCACGCGUUUCGACGAUUGUAGGGCAUCGUCCGUGUUUCGUUGUACGUUCGUUGCCUCGCCUUUCUUUCGUUUUUAAAAACAACGAAAAAAAAAAAGAAAAAAAAAUAUAAAAGAGGAAAAAAACAAAAAAGAAAAAAUAAAUAAAUAAAACGAUAGAAAGGUAAAAGAGAAAAACUUUGGAGAAUUUUUCCGUGGCAUUCUUUCCCUUGCUCGUCCUGAUCCAUCGAUCAUUAAUCCUAAGUUAAAUUUCUUCUGAGGAAA